UCUGUUUGAUUUGGGAUUCCCCCAUCAGAACUCUACCAUCCUCGCCCUUGAUACACCUAACUUGGUCUAGAUCACGUGCCUUCCUUUCCCUUGUUUUUGCUAACCGGAAUAACUUCUUAUCCCCGCCUCUCUCCCCUAAUUCCUCAUACAUGCAAUCGAACGCCGCAUUUUAGCUUCCGUGACUGCCAUCCUUUUACCAUCCUUUUAUUA
rnacentral:lncRNA from 1 species